rnacentral:pre_miRNA from 1 species
AAUUCCUGCCCUCAAGAAGCGCUCACAGUCUAGUGGAUGUGCUUGGGACAGUAUCCCCCUCUAGAAUGUAAACUCCUUGUGGGCAGGAAAC